rnacentral:rRNA from 1 species
UACGGGGGGGGCAAGCGUUGUUCGGAAUUACUGGGCGUAAAGGGCUCGUAGGCGGCCAACUAAGUCAGGCGUGAAAUCCCUCGGCUUAACCGGGGAACUGCGUCUGAUACUGGAUGGCUUGAGUUUGGGAGAGGGAUGCGGAACUCCAGGUGUAGCGGUGAAAUGCGUAGAUAUCUGGAGGAACACCGGUGGCGAAGGCGGCAUCCUGGACCAACACUGACGCUGAGGAGCGAAAGCCAGGGGAGCAAACGGG